CCUACGGGAGGCAGCAGUGGGGAAUAUUGGACAAUGGGGGAAACCCUGAACCAGCGACGCCGCGUGAGUGAAGACGUAUUUCGGUACGUAAAGCUCUAUCAGCAGGAAAGAAAAUGACGGUACCUGACUAAGAAGCCACGGCUAACUACGUGCCAGCAGCCGCGGUAAUACGUAGGGGGCCAGCGUUAUCCGGAUUUACUGGGUGUAAAGGGAGCGUAGACGGCAGCGCAAGGCUGGAGUGAAAUGCCGGGGCCCAACCCCGGAACUGCGGUGGAAACUGUGAAGCUGGAGUGCAGGAGAGGUAAGCGGAAUUCGUGGUGUAGCGGUGAAAUGCGUAGAUAUCAGGAAGAACUCCGACUGCGAAGGCAGCUUACUGGACUGUAACUGACGUUGAGGCUCGAAGGCGUGGGGAUCAAACAGGAUUAGAUACCCUUGUAGUC
rnacentral:rRNA from 1 species